AAGGCAAAAUUUUGCAAAAAAACUGCAAAACAUUCUUCUUCAAUCUAACUCAACUUGUCUUUCUUUCCUCAACAUUCAAGAUCCAACUUCAAAAACAUCAUCGGAUUCAGUGUAAAAACCUUAUUUUUACCCUUAUAUUCUCUAUCACUUUCUCAUUUUCAUAUGGGGAAUGAAGCCAAGUUGAUUGCAUGAAUAGGUAUGGUUUUAGUUCGAAUGCAUGCUUUGACGCUGGAGAACCUGCAAGUAGCUAAUGAAAGGCUCUGCUUUUGGUUUAUAAGACUAUGCUUUUGCUCUUCUAAGUUAUUUUAUUCACAUUUCAACCAGCGGAUUCAAGCCCGUAUUAGUCGCAAAUUCUGUAUGUAUGACACAAGCAUGUUUGGCCAUGCUUUAAAGAUAUUAUGUUGUUUGCCAUCAAUACAUUGUGGCUUCUGUUUGAA